rnacentral:rRNA from 1 species
UGGGGAAUAUUGGACAAUGGGGGAAACCCUGAUCCAGCCAUGCCGCGUGAGUGAUGAAGGCCCUAGGGUUGUAAAGCUCUUUUACCCGGGAAGAUAAUGACUGUACCGGGAGAAUAAGCUCCGGCUAACUCCGUGCCAGCAGCCGCGGUAAUACGGAGGGAGCUAGCGUUGUUCGGAAUCACUGGGCGUAAAGCGCGCGUAGGCGGCUAUUCAAGUCAGGGGUGAAAUCCCGGGGCUCAACCCCGGAACUGCCCUUGAUACUAGGUAGCUAGAAUACUGGAGAGGUGAGUGGAAUUCCGAGUGUAGAGGUGAAAUUCGUAGAUAUUCGGAAGAACACCAGUGGCGAAGGCGACUCACUGGACAGUUAUUGACGCUGAGGUGCGAAAGCGUGGGGAGCAAACAGGAUUAGAUACCCGUGUAGUCC